rnacentral:rRNA from 1 species
UUACGCAAGGGCACUCUAAUGAGACUGCCGGUGACAAACCGGAGGAAGUGGGGAUGACGUCAAGUCCUCAUGGCCCUUAUGGGUAGGGCUUCACACGUCAUACAAUGGUCGGUACAGAGGGUUGCCAAGCCGCGAGGCGGAGCCAAUCCCACAAAGCCGAUCGUAGUCCGGAUUGUUCUCUGCAACUCGAGAGCAUGAAGUCGGAAUCGCUAGUAAUCGCAGGUCAGCAUACUGCGGUGAAUACGUUCCCGGGUCUU